rnacentral:rRNA from 1 species
UACAGAGGGUGCGAGCGUUGUUCGGAAUUAUUGGGCGUAAAGCGCUUGUAGGCGGCACGUCAAGUCGCGUGUGAAAUCCCCAGGCUUAACCUGGGAAGUGCGCGCGAAACUGACGAGCUUGAGUGCCGGAGAGGGUCGCGGAAUUCCCGGUGUAGAGGUGAAAUGCGUAGAUAUCGGAAGGAACACCAGUGGCGAAAGCGGCUUCCUGGUCCAGCACCGACGUUCAGGCACGAAAGCGUGGGGAGCAAACAGG